rnacentral:rRNA from 1 species
UACGAAGGGGGCUAGCGUUGUUCGGAAUUACUGGGCGUAAAGCGCGCGCAGGCGGUCUUCCAAGUCAGUGGUGAAAGCCCGGAGCUCAACUCCGGAACUGCCAUUGAAACUGUUAGACUUGAGGAUGAGAGAGGUGAGUGGAAUUCCCAGUGUAGAGGUGAAAUUCGUAGAUAUUGGGAAGAACACCGGUGGCGAAGGCGGCGAUCUGGGUCGAUACUGACGCUGAGGUGCGAAAGCGUGGGGAGCAACAGG